rnacentral:rRNA from 1 species
CGUGUAGGCGGUUCUCUAAGUUUGGUGUGAAAUCUCCCGGCUCAACCGGGAGGGUGCGCCGAAAACUGGGGGACUAGAGUGCGGGAGGGGAGAGUGGAAUUCCUGGUGUAGCGGUGAAAUGCGUAGAUAUCAGGAGGAACACCGGUGGUGCAGACGGCUCUCUGGACCGUAACUGACGCUGAAACACGAAAGCGUGGGUAGCAAACAGGAUUAGAUACCCUGGUAGUCCACGCCCUAAACGAUGCAUAUUUGGUGUAGGUCAUUCAGUUGAUCUGUGCCGGAGCUAACGCGUUAAAUAUGCCGCCUGGGGAGUACAGUCGCAAGGCUGAA